rnacentral:rRNA from 1 species
CCUACGGGAGGCAGCAGUGAGGAAUAUUGGUCAAUGGACGAGAGUCUGAACCAGCCAAGUAGCGUGAAGGAUGACUGCCCUAUGGGUUGUAAACUUCUUUUAUAAGGGAAUAAAAUGUUCCACGUGUGGGAUUUUGUAUGUACCUUAUGAAUAAGGAUCGGCUAACUCCGUGCCAGCAGCCGCGGUAAUACGGAGGAUCCGAGCGUUAUCCGGAUUUAUUGGGUUUAAAGGGUGCGUAGGUGGAUUGUUAAGUCAGUGGUGAAAGUUUGCGGCUCAACCGUAAAAUUGCAGUUGAAACUGGCAGUCUUGAGUACAGUAGAGGUAGGCGGAAUGCGUGGUGUAGCGGUGAAAUGCUUAGAUAUCACGAAGAACUCCGAUUGCGAAGGCAGCUCACUAGGCUGCGACUGACACUAAGGCUCGAAAGUGUGGGGAUCAAACAGGAUUAGAUACCCCUGUAGUC